GGACAAACUGGACAAUCAAACGAUCAAUGUGGUUGCACAUAGGAAGACAGCUGUUCUACAAGGCCUGCCUUUCUUUAUGAGAGAGACUCCGGAUUCUUUCUUCAAGUCUUGCCUGGAUACUGAUGUUGAUGUGGAAGAUUCACAACUCCAAGGGGAACAACAUUGGAAUCUUAUCGGUCAUCGAGGAUGACGUGGCCAGAGCUGACAGCAUCGCAAAUGUGAGAUGCCUUUCUAUAAUUUUGGAGGAUCAUGUCCUUGAUGAUCUCCCUGACCUUCAGACCGCCAUGGCAUUGCUCUUUGGACUUUUAUAUGUGUUGAACAUGAAAUAUCCCGAGAACCUCAAAUACACUUUCGAAACCCUCCAGAAGGUGUUCGUGCAUCUGGACACAAACCUUUCUGCAAGUCCUCUCCUUCAGGAACAAAAUGCUGAGGU